rnacentral:rRNA from 1 species
AGAAUCAACGCUGGCGGCGUGCCUAACACAUGCAAGUCGAACGAGAAAGGGUAGCAAUACCUGAGUACAGUGGCGCACGGGUGAGUAACACGUGACUAACCUACCCUGGAGUGGGGAAUAACUGAGGGAAACCUUAGCUAAUACCGCAUAAUACCUACGGGUCAAAGGAGCAAUUCGCUUCAGGAGGGGGUCGCGGCCGAUUAGUUAGUUGGCGGGGUAAUGGCCCACCAAGACAGUGAUCGGUAU